UGCAUCUGAAGCCCAUGAGGAUGAGAACCUCCGGGGGCGGGGAGGUUCGACUCGAGCGAAGCGAGAGAACGUUGCGCCAGCAACGGCCCGCAGGGCGAGCCACGAAGUGGCGAGUAAUCCUCUAUCACCGACCA
rnacentral:sRNA from 1 species